GGACUUGUCAUGGACCAACAACACCGCCACCACCCAUCUCAAGAGGGCGCAACAGCAUCUCUACUUCCUAAAGGCGUCCACAUGCUUCCCAGCCGAAACAGUUCAGUAGAGUUUGUGCAUAUAUUAUGACAUUUUGUGGCAUUUUUUCCCUCUUUUGGACUUUGGUGAGUGUUUUUUCAGCAGUUCGGGCACAAUUGUUUUCUGGAGGCAAGCCAAAGUUCUGAGCCGAAGUCUACGUCCCUUCAUCAGUGAUUUGUUAACAGUAGGGACUCUUCAAUUAAGUAUUAUUUUGUCAUUCAACGAGAGACGACUCGUUUUCAUGAAAGAAAAUUCAGUUGAAAAAUACUGACGAACACAAUGACGAACACAUGCUGACGAACACAAUGAUACAUUGAGCAGAUAGAAAUACAGCUGAAAACUGCCCUUUCCAUCCUCAUGCUAGCUACCAGCAGUCACAGCAGCCAUUUUUAAAAAGUCAGUGUCAGCCAAUCAGAUCCGUUGUUGUUCAACAUCAUGUGCCAUUCCAUAAUGGCUGCAGUGGCUACUGGUAGCUAGCAUGAGCACGAAAUGGGAAGUCUUCUGGGAACACAAGUAGUAUUUUAAUCUUAUCGAUGGAGCAGUGUGGAUAAAAGUCAAAUUUGGAGUACAGUGGCAUUGAGGAACAAUUUGUGCCUGAGGCAGAUGCGGUGGGACUCAAGUUGCCAUCAGGUGGAAGCCUGUCCCCUCUCUCUGAUCAGUCUCAAUGGAGGAAGGAGAGAGCAGGGACUGUGAGAAGAGGACCCCUCUGCUGUUCUCUCCCUACCUCCGCUGACACUAAUGCCGUCUUUGAAACAACUGGGAACCCGGAAAACUCACUUUCGAGCGUUCAAGACAACUGGGAAUUCUUUUAAAAAAACGAGAUCCCACUGGAGAAAAUCAUUUUAGAACGGUCAUCCAACUCAGAAACUCGGGCAUCUUUAUAGAGCUCCGACUUUCCGACCUGAAGUUCACUGACUUCAUGAUUUGACCUUUGAGGCCAGAGACUUAUGGGAGGAGCGCACAAUUUAUUUUCUAGCCACCAUAGCCUGAAAAUGACAGUUGCGUUCUAAGUCCUACUACGGACUGGCGCUUAUGACAAACACCGGUACUAA
rnacentral:lncRNA from 1 species